UACGUAGGGUGCGAGCGUUGUCCGGAAUUAUUGGGCGUAAAGAGCUCGUAGGCGGUUUGUCACGUCGGAUGUGAAAUCCCGGGGCUCAACUCCGGGUCUGCAUUCGAUACGGGCUGACUAGAGUUCGGUAGGGGAGACUGGAAUUCCUGGUGUAGCGGUGAAAUGCGCAGAUAUCAGGAGGAACACCGGUGGCGAAGGCGGGUCUCUGGGCCGAUACUGACGCUGAGGAGCGAAAGCGUGGGGAGCGAACAGG
rnacentral:rRNA from 1 species